rnacentral:rRNA from 1 species
AGCGAACGCUGGCGGCAGGCUUAACACAUGCAAGUCGAGCGGGCGUAGCAAUACGUCAGCGGCAGACGGGAGAGUAACACGUGGGAACGCGCCCUUCGGUUCGGAACAACUCAGGGAAACUUGAGCUAAUACCGGAUACGCCCUAACGGGGAAAGAUUUAUCGCCGAAGGAACGGCCCGCGUCGGAUUAGCUAGUUGGUGAGGUAAUGGCUCACCAAGGCGACGAUCCGUAGCUGGUCUGAGAGGAUGGCCAGCCUCACUGGGACUGAGACACGGCCCAGACUCCUACGGGAGGCAGCAGUGGGGAAUAUUGGACAAUGGGCGCAAGCCUGAUCCAGCCAUGCCGCGUGGAUGAUGAAGGCCUUAGGGUUGUAAAGUCCUUUUAACGGGGAAGAUAAUGACGGUACCCGUAGAAUAAGCCCCGGCUAACUUCGUGCCAGCCGCCGCCGUAA